GGAACCUGCUUCUGCCAGAGCUUUCCAUAUAUUUUAAUUUUGGGGGGGUCAAAAAGAGAGCUGAGUUCGGAUGGCCUACCCCCGCCAGGCCUGGCAUAAUGCUGCUCAUUACAGUACCCCCCCCCACCCCCCGUUAUCUGGGAAUCGUUCAUUUAGCGAAUGUCGACCCGAGAAGCCGCUGUGCAGGCGUGAAGGCCCCUAAGAUUGGGCAAUUAAGCAGAAACUGCAGUUUUAGUAUGAGGAACGGAGGUGGAAGAACAAGCCGAAUCAGAAGACGAAAACUCUUCACAAGUUCUGAAUCAAGAGGAGUGAAUGAGAGCUACAAGCCUGAAUUUAUAGAGCUUAAGAAGUGGCUGAAAGAUAGGAAGUUUGAAGAUACAAACUUAAUACCUGCUUGUUUUCCAGGUACAGGAAGAGGGCUGAUGAGCAAAAGAUCCCUACGGGAGGGACAGAUGAUUAUCUCAUUGCCUGAGAGUUGCCUGCUCACCACGGACACAGUGCUUAGAAGCUACUUAGGGGCGUAUAUUGCUAAGUGGCAGCCUCCUCCAUCUCCUGUGCUGGCUCUUUGCACCUUUCUAGUUUCAGAAAAGCAUGCUGGGGCCCGGUCCCCCUGGAAGCCUUACCUGGACGUUUUGCCCAAGGCCUACACCUGCCCUGUUUGUUUGGAGCCCGAAGUGGUGAAUCUUCUUCCCGAACCUCUGAGAGCAAAGGCCAGAGAGCAGAGAACCCACGUGCAGGAGUUCGUUGCUUCCUCCAGAGACUUCUUCUCUUCCCUGCAGCCUCUGUUUUCGGAGGCCGUUGAGAUCAUCUUUAGCUACGGCGCCCUCCUGUGGGCUUGGUGCACCGUCAACACCAGGGCCGUGUACGUGAAGCGCACGCCGAGGCGGUGCUUCUCCGCGGAGCCGGACACCUGCGUGCUCGCCCCGUUCCUCGAUCUGCUGAACCACAGCCCUGACGCCCAGGUAAAAGCAGCAUUUAAUGAGGAAACUCGCUGUUAUGAAAUUAGAACAGCUGUGAGCUGUGGAAAACACAAAGAGGUGCUCAUCUGCUAUGGCCCUCACGAUAACCACCGCCUGCUCCUCGAGUAUGGAUUUGUUUCCACCCGCAAUCCUCAUGCUGGUGUUUAUGUCUCAAAAGAUAUACUUGUUAAAUAUCUUCCAUCAACAGAUAAACGGAUGAACCAAAAGAUUUCCAUUUUAGAGGAUCACGGCUUUAUAGAAAAUUUGACGUUUGGAUGGGAUGGACCGUCUUGGCGGUUACUCACAGCUCUUAAGUUGUUAUGUCUGGAAGCUGAAGAAUUGACAUGCUGGAAAAAAGUACUUAUUGGGGAAAUGAUUUCAGAUACAAAUGAGAAGGCAAGUUUGGACAUAGCCCAGAAAAUAUGCCAUUAUUUCAUCAAGGAGAGUAAGGCUGUGCUUCAAAAGGUUUCUCAUAUGAAAGAUGAAGAAGUGGCUUUGAUAAACCAACUAACUUUGGUAGAAACACUGUGGACAGAAGAGCUGAAGAUUCUCCAGGCCUCUGCUGAGACCCUAACCAGUUUGCAAACAGCUUUUACAUAACUUCUCCGAAGUGCAGGUGAUCACCUCCAAUGCUGGGAGCCUGUGCUGGCCCACAGGAACCAGACUUCUUUAUCACCAGUUGACCCUCCUUCAGUACAUGGUAGCAUGUUUGGCCGAGGUUGGCGGACUGGAAAGCAGGGUCCAGUGGGUCACCUACAGAAGGAGAUGCAGAAGGAGGAAACGCUAAGCCAUGAAGAUCAUUGAUAUUUCCUGAAAUUAUAUUGCUUUUUCCUGUCUGAAGAGCUGUGAGGGUAUGUCUCUAGAACACUGCUCCUAAAAACGGAGACCCUGACGGAAGCCCAGAGAAAUUAAGCAACAUGCUCUCCUUCUGACAAGCUUUCCAGAACCUCGAAUUCCCAGAGUUAAGUAUGGUGACUCGAAGAAACUUGGAGCCAUGAAGUCUCAUGCAGUAGAGGUGGGAACACACGGUAUCUUAAUACCUGGACAGGAAAAGGAUGCUGAAUGAAGAUAAGUCCUGGAAAAAGUGAUUGGUCAUGAAAAGUUUUUAGUGUGUGCAUAUAGUAAGUUCAUUAUAAGGAUAUAAAGUUAAUAAUGAUUUGCCUUAUGGCUUUUUUCUUUUUAUGUUUUAUUACUAUUGCAUUUUCAUUAAAAAAAACCAAACCAAACCAAACCUGAUCUGACAUCAUUUCUGUGGCUAUUGUUGACUUCACCCAUCUUGAUUAAUUUUUCUCAUUUUUAUAUCCUUACUAUAUUUUAAAAACUUUUUCUGGAAGUCAAGGAAUUCAUCCUUCUGGAGUUGGAAUUCAUUCAUUCUGGAAUUGGAAACCUGCAUCUACUAAAUUUCAAUGACAGGUUUUCUGUUCUCGGCUGAUCUUGCUAACACAGAGCAGUUACUCAUCAGGCAGACUUAUCUAGCCACUAGAUGGUGCGCACAUGCUAUUGUAAAGGGAGAUUGAAGUCAAACUAUUUGGAAAAGCAAUAUGUCUUCAUUUAAGGGGCCUCUGAUGUUCAGGGAAUGGAUCAGUGGAAAUGAAUAGCCUAAACUAUAUCUUGCUACAUAAUACAUUAAUGUCGGAUGAAAUGCACACACCGUAUAUGUAUGAAUGUGAACAUGUGGAAAACAGAUGAUUUUUAGACGUGACUAACAUGCUCAUUAGGCAUUUUUAGCAAAAUUCUCCACUAGGCUCAUGGUCCUGAAGUUGAAAUGCAAGAAGUUGACUGUCUAGUAUGCUCUUCAGAAUCCUGAAGUUUAACUUGGAUCCCUUUGAAGUCUUUUAUUAUGAUGGAUGAAUCAUUUCAACAUUUUGCUACAUUCAAAGGCCCUCAAUAAAAGAUAAAAUCAAGUGCCUUACUAAUCAAGGAGACCACAGAUGAUUGGAAAUCAGGUGAAAAUGUGACAUGAGUGGUAAUACUAAACUCAAAAACCUGUCUCAAUCACUACAGAUUUCAAAAGAGUUUGGAAACAUUUAAAAAUGUAAAAAAAAAAUGCACACGACUGGUUUCAGAAGCCAUUUGGGAAAUGUUUGGGUGCUUUUUGUAAUAGAAAUAAACAUUUGAUACUUUU